AUAGUCUGUAGUGCAUAAGCCUGAUGCCCUGUGUUCAUGCACACACGUGACAUGUGCCUCCCUCCAGCCUUGUUACCAUGUCAGUACAUAGCCUAUCUUACA
ensembl:snoRNA